rnacentral:rRNA from 1 species
AACGAACGCUGGCGGCGCGCCUAAUACAUGCAAGUCGAGCGAGAAGGUGUAGCAAUACACUUGUAAAGCGGCGAACGGGUGAGGAAUGCAUGGGUAACCUACCCUCGAGUGGGGAAUAACUAGCCGAAAGGUUAGCUAAUACCGCAUACGUUUCCGGAACUUCGGUUUCGGAAAGAAAGCAAUACCGUGGGUAUUGCGCUCCUGGAUGGGCUCAUGUCCUAUCAGCUUGUUGGUGAGGUAACGGCUCACCAAGGCUUCGACGGGUAGCUGGUCUGAGAGGACGAUCAGCCACACUGGCACUGCGACACGGCCAGACUCCUACGGGAGCAGCAGUAAGGAUAUUGCGCAAUGGACGAAAGUCUGACGCAGCGACGCCGCGU